AUACGGAGGACGCGAGCGUUAUCCGGAUUCAUUGGGUUUAAAGGGUGCGCAGGCGGCCGUGCAAGUCAGCGGUGAAAGCCCGGGGCCCAACCCCGGAAGUGCCGUUGAUACUGCAUGGCUUGAAUGCGGUCGAGGCGGGCGGAACGUGGCGGGUAGCGGUGGAAUGCGUAGAUAUGCCACAGAACGCCGAUAGCGGAGGCAGCUCGCCAGGCCUGCAUUGACGCUCGGGCACGAAAGCGUGGGGAUCGAACAGGAUUAGAUCCCCUGGUAGUCCACGCCGUAAACGAUGGGCGCUCGUCGUCGGCGGCAGACAGUCGGCGGCCAAGCGAAAGCGAUAAGCGCCCCACCUGGGGAGUACGGUCGCAAGGCUGAAACUCAAAUGAAUUGACGGGG
rnacentral:rRNA from 1 species